CGUUAAAAAUUUCAUCCAUUUCUACCAUUAAAAACUGGGCUGGUUGAUAGAAUAACCAGACAGUUACAUGUGGCGUGUCAUUUUACUGGUAGAAAUGAAUGAAAUUUUUAAUG
rnacentral:pre_miRNA from 1 species